GAGGAUUGACCCUGAAUGUGAUCUCCAUUCGAACCAAGUUCUUUCGCCGUGACGAACGAAAAUGGAAGAAAUCUGGUGAAAUAAACUCGCCUGGGAGACCUUGUGCCAUAAUAAGCACUGGCCUGAACCGGCGGUAUGGGAAAGGACUCCAGCGCCAUAAAAUGUUACUUCCGGAUGACGUCAUGUUUUGAAAUAGCAUGAGCAUAGCCCUAGUUGUCACAAUCCCACCAUCGCCAGAGAAGUUUUCGUCAAACAUGUAUGCGCUAUGAAAAGAAGCUUUGUAUACAAAGUUCGAAACCCACGACAGCAACAUGCUGUCAAACAUCUCAUCAGUGCUUUCCUGGAAAUGCUCACUGUCCAGAAAAGGACGACAAAGAUUUGCCAGGAUGGCACCCCAGAGUGAGGCCGUGAGAUUUGCGCUUGUGCUGUUCCGUGGCGAAGGUAUUUAACCUUCAGGCCCAGCGUCU